rnacentral:rRNA from 1 species
UACGGAGGGUGCAAGCGUUGUCCGGAAUCACUGGGCGUAAAGGGCGCGUAGGCGGCUCAUGAAGGCUGUGGUGAAAGUCCGGGGCUCAACCUCGGAUCGGCCGUGGCGACUCGUGGGCUGGAGCACUGUAGAGGCGGGUGGAAUUCCGGGUGUAGCGGUGGAAUGCGUAGAGAUCCGGAAGAACACCCGUGGCGAAGGCGGCCCACUGGGCCGGUACUGACGCUGAGGCACGAAGGCGUGGGGAGCGAACAGG